rnacentral:rRNA from 1 species
UACGGAGGAUGCAAGCGUUAUCCGGAAUGAUUGAGCGUAAAGCGUCCGCAGGUGGCGAUGUAAGUCUGCUGUUAAAGAGUGAGGCUCAACCUCAUAAGAGCAGUGGAAACUACAUAGCUAGAGUGCGGUAGGGGCAGAGGGAAUUCCUGGUGUAGCGGUGAAAUGCGUAGAGAUCAGGAAGAACACCGGUGGCGAAAGCGCUCUGCUGGACCAUAACUGACACUCAGGGACGAAAGCUAGGGGAGCGAAUGGG